UGCGGGAGGAAGAAUCAUAUAUUAGAUAAAAUUGUUGGAUUAUAAUAGGGGAUAUUACACAAGGAAAAUCAUCCAAAUGGAUAUACAAUCUAAAUUUUUUCUUGACUUAAAUUGAAAGAAUCCAUCAACAUCCAUAGAACUUAACUAAAACACAAUCGACGAACAUCAUCCAACAGGAACAUGAUCCCUACAACUUAACUAAAACUGAAACCAUCCGUCUUCAUCAUCCUGAACAGGAACAUCAUCAUCAUUGUAGUAUACUUGCCACACACACCCAUAGAAUCUUCCAUUUAUCUUUUGAAUCUACAAAAAAUGAACUGUUAACACACAAUGCAUUGACAUGAUGCAAGUACUGAUAUAGGCAGGAUAUUAGUCACCUACAAAGGUUGACAUGCACAACUAAAUCUGCAUUACCAAGAGUUGCAAUUUUUGCGACUCUGUACCUAAUCUUCAGUUUUCACAAGUGCCAUCUCGACAUGCACUACCUAGAAUUCAUUAGUAAUUUCAGCACCAUCAAGUUCAAAUUUAGGAUCACAACUUACAACUGUAGCAAGAUCUACAUUUAUGUUAUGAUUUUUUAGGCUCGUUAAAAAUACUUUGUUUUCCUGCCUGUUAGAGAAAAUAAAAGUUACCAUGGGCAGAAUCAUGUCAAGCAAAAUAAUUAAUAGAAACAUGACAUAUAACACAAAAUGUUGAGAGGCCAAGACAUGUCGUGUUUGCAUCUUUUCCUCUACUUUAUGGUUAUGAAUACAUUCUUCUACAUGUUAAUCUCGUGAUGUGCAACAUCUAUGAAAUUCUAUGAAGCCUUUCACUACAAACAAAGUAGUUUUGGUGAUGAACACUUAAAAUAAUUAAACUUCAUAUGAUACCUUUAAUGUAGAACACAAAGAUAGACAUUUUUAUUCGAGUAGCAGUAUGGUAUGAUAAACUGCAUAAUUCUGAGGCACCUACUGGAAGAUAGAGAAGCAGUGUGUUUGACCAUUAAUCAAGUAACAAAACAUUACAAUAUCAAUACCUGGGACAUAUUAAGCCAAAAGAUAAAUUAAAUUUACCAAAUUAGUACAAAUAAAACAUAUUAGACAAUAAAAAGAAGCUUUGAAGCAUAACAUCCAUCAUAAAUGAGGUACUCCCAGUACCGACCCAAUGAUUUUGCAUGCACUGCAGCGAGGACAGCAGGGCGGAUCAAGCAUUAGUUCAUAUUUACCACCAAGUCCUAAUAAAAUAGCUAGUAUAUAUAUCCAGAUCAAACUCUAACUAGCACAUCUGAGCAGAUAAAUCAAAGGCAAUGACACUAUUAAGAAAAGGAGAAGACGCAGCAGAGAAAACAAGACUGUAGUAUGUUCGAAAAAAUAAUUAGGAUGUCUUGUUUGUAGACUUCAAAUACAAAUCAGAUAGAGAUAUGGUGAUAUAUUUAAUUGGAAGUUGCAGGCAUCCAAAAAAUAAUAUUGAAUAUAUAUGGUCUAAUAAUUGAAGGACACUAUAGAUGAACGGUGCCUAUUAAAGUGAUAUUGAAACAAUUGACAUUAUUUUUCUUUUUCUUUUUGCAACCCAUCAGUACAUGACCUCAUGAUGAAUCAGAAACAUGUUAGUAUUUAUAAAGUGGCCAUAUGCUACAAAUUUGCUUCUCUUUUCCCCAUGGUGUGUAUUCUUCGUUGUAAAUAAAAAACAAUCAAGAGAAUAAAGGAGUGACACUACGGAUGUAGGCAAGCGUAGUAUAAAGAGGAAGCACGAACCACAAAAGAAGUGUCUAGAAUUUGGUAAACUAGCAGACAGAACCGUGUAGGUAUAUGUUGUUAAUAAUAGAAGAAGGGGACAUCAAUCAAAUUGCAAAAGCCAAGUGAAUAAAUGGAAAACACCUAUGGUUUUGUAUUCCUGGAACACAAUCUAGUUCAGUUAUCUUAAAAAAAUACAGAAGUCAGAUAGGUUGUAAUAGGUGUGGAAUUUUAUCUAACAUGUCAGUUGAGUAAAUAAGUACUAAUUGUCUCAGCGUAGUUUUAUAAGAUUUGUUUCCCUUCUACUGUAUUUAGUGGUUACAUAGUAAACAAAUUUCUGUUCAUAAAUCAUAAGUAAAUCGCAAGAUCUGCUUGCAUAAAAAAAUUGAUAUGACAUUCAGCUCACAUAAACAUCUUUUUAAAUGGCAAGCAUAGCUCAUGGUAGAUGUACUCAAUAAUAUUUUUCAGAGUUUUGUGACAAGCAACAGUGAUUGAUCACCAGAUUACCUUCCUUUCGAUCUUGAACUCUAACUAUAGUGGGGAGAAAGCCUUAUGCAGCUGAGUGCUAAUUUCACCAGAUGUUGAUGGAUGAUAAUGCGGAGAACUGUGGAUCAGAAGCCCUCAGAUCCAACAAGUACUCAGCUUUGCCAUGCUCUACCCUGAUAUCCUUCUCCCACAACGUCGCGGCAGCCUAGUCGACCAAGCUGCGUAAAGCUAUCAACCUGCUCCUCAAUUUGUAGUAGCAGAGAGCAUAGAGAUCUAAAUGGUCUUUUAAGCGAAUGAAAUAUAUAUAAAAAGUUACUGAACCGUGCCUCAAAUAAAAGAGGGGGUAAGUUUUGGGGUCAUGUCCAUUGCAACAUAUUCGAUGCUUGAGUGCGAUUGCAUUUCUCUGCACCGAGUGGAGGUAAUUAUUACUUAGUAGAGAAAUUUGAUUUGUAACUUGCUCUGAAGUAUCGAAAAGAAAUAUGACCAUAUGACGGAGUGACUUAUCAGGCCUACAACAUAAGAAAGUGGCACCAUAAGCAAAAAGUGGAACUUUGAAUUGUCAUCAUCAACCACGGGACUAACACAAGCAGCCUUAUUAUACAAUCAGUCAACUAACGAUUGCACAAUCAAAUCUUACUUCCAUGGGCUCGUGACAGGGUCCUAUAAGCCAUAACUGAAAUCAAUUGAAUCACAACAAGAGGCUCUAGCUAGAAGCUCCCCUCCGCACAAACCAUCUAUAAUUCAACUUGUCCGUCAUUAUCAGGGACUGGCAAGUCGUAACUAGAAAUCCCCAACAAUACUGAAGUCAAAUAGAGAAAGGUUGGGAGAAUAAAAUUGGGAGAAGAGAACUGGUCCGGCUCACCAUGGCAGCGCGAUCGCGAGGGUGGUUGCAGCAGUAACUCCGCC
rnacentral:lncRNA from 1 species